GAGACUGGACCCCCACAAGGAAGACAUGGCUGGUAGCCUGGUAUUGAGCACAAGAGCAUCAUAAAAGUAGAGAGGUAAGACAUGGUGAUUCCUUGCCUGCCUGGCAUCUCGCUUACUGCACAGAAUGGAAGAUUUGUGUGGCAGUCUGAAUGAGAUUGGCCCCAUAAUAGGUUUGAUACUCAGAUGGUGGAACUGUUUGGGAGGAAUUAGGAGGUGUGGUCUUGGUGGAAGAGGGGAGUCACCAGAGGUGGGCGUUGAGGUUUCAAAAGCCCAUUGCAUUCCCAGUUUUCUCCUCCUCUGCCUCUAACUUGGGGAUAAGAUGUAAGGUAUCAGAUCCUUCUCCUCUGUCAUGGCUGCCCAUCUGCUGCCUGCCUGACUCUUCACCAUGAUGGUCUUGAACUUAUGCUCUGAAACUAUAAACAAACUGCCAAUUAAAAUGCUUUUGUUUCUUUGCUUGCUUACUUACUUAUGAGUUACCUUGGUAUGGUGUCUCUUCCCAGCAAUAGAGAAGUAACUAAGUUUCCAAAAUCCAAGGCUCCAGUAGAUGUGAGGCCAUCUUUGUGUCUGUGUGGGUCCUCCCCCAACCAGCAAGGAGACAGAAUGAAGUGUGAGCUGUUUGCGGGUGAGAGUAGGAAGCAUAAACAGGAACAAAAAGCCUAACCUGGAAAGACUGAAGUCUCGAUGCAGUUCUGAUGCCAAGAAAGGGAAGUGGGAUGGAAGGACGCUGAAGUAGGAAGAGCUGCAGGCAAAAGGGAAAAGUGUGGGCUACCCUCACAAGAAGUGCGAGAAUUCAAGCCUGACGAGGCAGGUUCCACCUGCUAGUUGUUCCUACAGGAUUUAAACAAGAUUUUAGAAUCUAGAUUUAGAUUCGUGUGUCAGGGCCUGUACGUGCAAACCAAAAGACAGGCAUCCUCUUCCUUCUAUAAUGUGGGUCCUAGGGAUCAAGUUCAUAUCAUCAGACUUGGCAGCAAGGGCCCUUACCUGAUGAGUCAUCUCAUUGGCCCUUGUCUAUCAUUUAGGAUGGUUUUCUAGAUUUUGACUGAUUGCUCUUAUUUCCUCACUAAAGUAUGUGUCUUGAAGGCAAAGACCACAUUUAUGUCUGUUUGCAUUCGAUCACCAGCUUUGGCAAGAUGGCUGCAUUUUUUGUGGUUUCUACCUAAUGCGUAAAGUUUGUCUUUGUGUGUGUGUUUUGUUUUUGGGUUUUUUUUAAUUAUUACACUUGUUUAUUGGGAGGCACACCAAAGCACACAUGUGGAGGUCAGAGGAUGGCUUUUGGGAGUCAUGUUGUCCUCUCCUUCCAACAGAUGGGUCCCAGAGAUUGAACUGCUGAACCAUCCCAUUAGCCUGCUACCUACCAUUGAUUGAAUGGUAUAUGAAAGAUGUAAACUCGGCAUUCACAUUUGUAUAACAGCACUAAUCAAUGCUAGAAUGCUGAAAAUCAGUGAACUUUUGAGUCCCCAAAAACCUAGGACCAAAUAUAGACCCACAGAAAUCACCAAGACUCUAGGCAGCCUUGGCUUCCUAGCACUCUCGACAACUGUGCUGUCUAUAAUAAGGAACCAUGUGUGGUGGUUUGAAUGAAAAUAGCCAUCCCAUAGACUCAGGGAGUGACUUUAUUGGAGGUGUGUCCUUCUUGGAGUAGGUGUGACCUUGUUGGAGGAAGUAUGUCACAGCAGGGUGAGCUUUGUGGGUACAGAAGCUCAAGCCAGACCCAGUGUCACUAACUUACUGCUGCCUGCCAAUCCAGGUAUAGAACUCUCAGUUAUUUCUCCAACACAUGUCUGCAUAUGUGCUACCAUACUUUCUGCCAUGAUAAAAUAGACCUCUGAACCUGUAAGCCAUCCCAAAUUAAAUGUUUUCUUUUAUAAGAGUUAUGUGGUCAUGGUAUCUCUUCACAGCAAUAGAACACUGACUAAGACAUCAUGGGCUGGGAGAGAUGCCCCUGACAGCUGAUACCCCUGAUGCUCCAUAAGCUUGAGAACCUGACUUCCAUCCCCAGAACCCAUGAAAAAGCCAACACUGGGGAGGCAAAGACAGGAGGAUCUCUGGGGCUUGCUGGCCUGCCAGCCUAGCUGCAUCUAUAAGCUACAGGUUCAUGGAGCGCUCCUGUCUCAGAAAAAUAAGGUACAGAGUGAUUAAGGAAGACAUCUGACGAUGACCUCAGGCCCCCACACUCAAAGGCACACACCUGCAUGAAACCAGGAUUUGGCUUUACCUGUGGGAAUUCCUUCCUCUCUUCAUGGCUGUUCUAGUCUAGAGGCUGUUGCUGUAAUAAAACAUUGAUCAAAAUCAGCUAGGGAGGAAAGAGUUCAUCUUACAGCUUACAGUCCAUCACUGAGGGAUGUCGGGAGGAACUCAAGGCAGGAGCCUGGAGUCAGGAAGCUUACUGACUUGCUACCCCACAGCUGCUCAGCUUGCUUUUUUAUACAGCCCAGGACCACUUGGUCAGGGCUGUCACCUCCCACAGUGAGCUGGUCCCUCUUGUAUCAGUCAUCAGUCAAGAAAAUGCCCCCCCAAAGUCUGCAGGCCAAUCUGAUGGAAGCAAUUCUUCAGCUGAGGGUUCCUCUUCCCAGGUGGAUCUAGUUUCUCUUUAGUUGAGAAAAGUUAAGCAGCACCCUGUCUAAAACCUUGCAAGACUUUGUUUAUGCAAAAACAGCCAGAGUUCCACUCUGCUCCCAUGAGUCAGAACUGCCCUAUAACAAGCAAGAGACUUGUGCAAGGCUUGCCUUGGAUUUCUAAUGUUCUCCAUUUUCUUCAUACUGCAGACAAAAAACACCUUCUGAGGAAGAGCUGUGAGCUGCUGUUUUCCUAUCACUAUCAUUUGGGCUGUCUCUCUUUCCCUCUGCUCCUGCAGGAGACACAGAAACUUCCUGUGUAUAGACCAAGGCCUCCAUCCUGCAGAGUGUGUGCAAGCAAGUGUUAAAAAUGCUUGAAGUUGCCACGUACUGAACUGAGCUUAAAGCAUUCAGGCAAAUUUUAUGACAGUUUCAGCCUUGGCAAAAACUUGUUUCAGUGGACUAACCUCAGCAAAUUGUGAGACUUAGUGUUAGAAGCCUUGCCCAAAGACUGCAGUGCAUCCUCAGUGCUCUGUGUGCAGUGACAAAGUCUAGACUUCAAACUGUCCUGUCACCAUGGAGACACUGCAAGCAAGGUCUCCUAUCUUUGUCCAAGCAAAAAUGAAGCAGCAACUGUGGCAGCUUCCUUCACUUCCCUAUGAGUGAUGGUGGGAAAGAGCGGUGUCUCCAGAAUCACAGACACUGCCUCCAUUCCUGUGAAGGAGGGCAGGAGAGAGAGGUGUCUCCAGAACGACAGGUACCACCCUCCGUUGGUUAGAUUUGACCUUGGGUGUUUGGACCGUGAUUGUGUCAGGGUCUUAUGGAGCCCAGGCUGCUUGAAGCUCAUGAUUCCUGAAUUUCCUGCCUUUCUACC